UACAGAGACUGCAAGCGUUAUUCGGAUUCACUGGGCGUAAAGGGUGCGCAGGUGGUCGUGUGUGUCAGAUGUGAAAUCCCGGGGCUUAACUCCGGAACUGCGUCUGAAACUGCACGACUAGAGCAUUGGAGAGGGUAGUGGAAUUCACGGUGUAGCAGUGAAAUGCGUAGAUAUCAGGAGGAAUACCGAUGGCGAAGGCAGCCCCCUGGGUCGAUACUGACGCUCAUGCACGAAAGCGUGGGGAGCAAACAGG
rnacentral:rRNA from 1 species